GAAAUUAUACCAAAAAAAAAAAAAGCAAUUUCACAAUUAACUAAGCCUGAGAUACACCUAAUUAUAUUCCUAAAACAAAUUCUUCGUCCAAGACCCAGCGCACUCACCAACCAACAAGACAAAAUACGACGGAAAAAUUCACAUCAUACUGCGCUCAAUGCAUAAUUAAUUAUUGAAUGGUGUAAACUUCUUAUCUGAAACGUCCCUUUCCUCAUAUUUUCUUUACUUUCCUUCAAAUUCAC
rnacentral:misc_RNA from 1 species